rnacentral:rRNA from 1 species
GACGAACGCUGGCGGCAGGCCUAACACAUGCAAGUCGAGCGGACCUUUCGGGGUCAGCGGCGGACGGGUGAGUAACGCGUGGGAAUAUGCCCUUCUCUACGGAAUAGUCCUGGGAAACUGGGGGUAAUACCGUAUGCGCCCUUUGGGGGAAAGAUUUAUCGGGGAAGGAUUAGCCCGCGUUGGAUUAGGUAGUUGGUGGGGUAAUGGCCUACCAAGCCGACGAUCCAUAGCUGGUUUGAGAGGAUGAUCAGCCACACUGGGACUGAGACACGGCCCAGACUCCUACGGGAGGCAGCAGUGGGGAAUAUUGCACAAUGGGCGAAAGCCUGAUGCAGCGACGCCGCGUGAGGGAUGACGGCCUUCGGGUUGUAAACCUCUUUCAGCAGGGAAGAAGCGAAAGUGACGGUACCUGCAGAAGAAGCACCGGCUAACUACGUG